rnacentral:rRNA from 1 species
UACAGAAGAAGCACCGGCUAACUCCGUGCCAGCAGCCGCGGUAAUACGGAGGGUGCGAGCGUUAAUCGGAAUUACUGGGCGUAAAGCGCAUGCAGGCGGCCUGUUAAGUCAGAUGUGAAAGCCCCGGGGCUUAACCUCGGAAUUGCAUUUGAAACUGGCAGGCUAGAGUCUUGUAGAGGGGGUAGAAUUUCAGGUGUAGCGGUGAAAUGCGUAGAGAUCUGAAGGAAUACCAGUGGCGAAGGCGGCCCCCUGGACAAAGACUGACGCUCAGAUGCGAAAGCGUGGGGAGCAAACAGGAUUAGAUACCCUGGUAG